rnacentral:rRNA from 1 species
AUAUUGGGCAAUGCCCGCAAGGGUGACCCAGCAACGCCGCGUGGAGGAUGAAUGUCGUAAGAUUGUAAACUCCUGUUAGAGGGGAAGAAUAGUACCGGUUGGACCGGUAUAUGACUGUACCCUCAGAGAAAGCCCCGGCUCACUACGUGCCAGCAGCCGCGGUAAUACGUAGGGGGCAAGCGUUGUCCGGAUUUACUGGGUGUAAAGGGCGCGCAGGCGGGAUAAAAAGUCAGUGGUGAAAUCCUACAGCGUAACUGUAGAACUGCCUUUGAGACUUUCAUUCUUGAGUUCGGGAGAGCGAGACGGAAUUCCAGGU